CCCUUAGAUGUUAUGGGCUGCACGCGCGCUACACUGAUGCACUCAACGAGUUUACGACCUUGCCCGAUAGGGUUGGGUAAUCUUUUUAAAAUGCAUCGUGAUGGGGAUAGAUUAUUGCAAUUAUUAAUCUUCAACGAGGAAUUCCUAGUAAGCGCGAGUCAUCAGCUCGUGCUGAUUACGUCCCUGCCCUUUGUACACACCGCCCGUCGCUCCUACCGAUUGAGUGCUCAGGUGAAUAAUUCGGACUGCAGCAAUGUUUGGAUCCCGAACGUUGCAGCGGAAAGUUUAGUGAACCUUAUCACUUAGAGGAAGGAGAAGUCGUAACA
rnacentral:rRNA from 1 species